UAGGGAAUCUUCGGCAAUGGGGGGAACCCUGACCGAGCAACGCCGCGUGAGUGAAGAAGGUUUUCGGAUCGUAAAGCUCUGUUGUUAAGGAAGAACGAGUGUGAGAAUGGAAAGUUCAUACUGUGACGGUACUUAACCAGAAAGGGACGGCUAACUACGUGCCAGCAGCCGCGGUAAUACGUAGGUGGCAAGCGUUAUCCGGAAUUAUUGGGCGUAAAGCGCGCGUAGGCGGUUUUUUAAGUCUGAUGUGAAAGCCCACGGCUCAACCGUGGAGGGUCAUUGGAAACUGGAAAACUUGAGUGCAGAAGAGGAAAGUGGAAUUCCAUGUGUAGCGGUGAAAUGCGCAGAGAUAUGGAGGAACACCAGUGGCGAAGGCGACUUUCUGGUCUGUAACUGACGCUGAUGUGCGAAAGCGUGGGGAUCAAACAGG
rnacentral:rRNA from 1 species